rnacentral:misc_RNA from 1 species
GGAAGGAUCAUUAACAAAUCAUAUGUGUGCGUGCAUUUUUAUGUGCGCAUACAAUAUAUGUGCGCCAGUAUACGUGCUGGAAUGCAAUAUUCAUGUAGUGUAUAUGUGUGUGUAGUGUAACUUAAUAUCGAAACAUACUUUUAACAAUGGAUCUCUUGGCUCUUGCAUCGAUGAAGAACGCAGUAAUGUGCGAAAAGUAAUGCGAAUUGCAUACCUCUGCGAGUCAUCUAGUCUUUGAACGCAAAUGGCACUAUCAUGUCGAAUGAUAGUAUGUCUGUUUGAGAACCACAAAACCCAUCACCAUUAGAUAAUGGUGGACCUGUCCGCAUAUAUUAUGUAUGCGGAUGAAAUGGAUAGUGCAGCGGGAUGAUCCCGAAUAUGUGACAAGUUAUCAUCAUAUUUGAAGGUUAUUCACAACGCGCACAGUAUGCUGUCAUGGCACACAAAUAAUAUUACUCUAAUGGUCUCAAAUUGGACAAGGCUACCCGCUGAACUUAAGCAUAUCAGUAAGCGGAGGAAAAGAAACUAACAAGGAUUCCCGUAGUAACGGCGAGUGAAGUGGGAAUAGCUCAAAUUUAAAAUCUGGCCUUUGGCCCGAAUUGUAGUCUAAAGAGGUGCUAUCUUGUUUGUGGCGUGCGCUCAAGUGUCCUGGGAUGGGCCCAUCACAGAGGGUGAGAAUCCCGUUUAGGUGCACGCUGCAUUCAUAUACGAGGCACUCUCAAAGAGUCGAGUUGUUUGGGAAUGCAGCUCAAAUUGGGUGGUAAACUUCAUCCAAGGCUAAAUAUUGGCAAGAGACCGAUAGCGAACAAGUACCGUGAGGGAAAGAUGAAAAGCACCUUGAAAAGGGAGUUAAACAGCGCGUGAAAUUGUUAAAAGGGAAACGAUUGAAGCCAGCAUUGCGCGUUUGGUGUGGGGUCGCAUGGUGUGUGGGUUUCAAGAGCGCAAGCCUUGGCCCGUUCAUGGUGCGAUCAGACCUGCGCGCGAGUCAGGGCCGCUUGGGUGCGCCUUAGAAGACACUGGGAAGGUAGCCACACUUCUUGUGUGGCCUUAUAGCCCAGUGGGAUGGGGUGUGCUGGAGCUGGUAGUGCAGAUAGUCUUGUUAUGUGCCCUUGGCUGUGCAGACUGCAUGCAGACUGUGCGGCACGGGGGUGCAGACCGCAGACUAACAUGCAUGUUCCUGACGAAAUGGCUUUAAACGACCCGUCUUGAAACACGGACCAAGGAGUCUAACAUGUAUGCGAGUGUUUGGGUGGCAAACCCGAGCGCGCAAUGAAAGUGUUUUGCGUGGGACCUCAUUAUAAGAGGGCACCAUGGGCCGAUCUUGAUAUCUCUUGAUAGAUUCGAGUCAGAGCAUAAAUGUUGGGACCCGAAAGAUGGUGAACUAUGCCUGGAUAGGAUGAAGCCAGAGGAAACUCUGGUGGAGGUCCGCCGCCGUUCUGACGUGCAAAUCGAUGGUCAAAUUUGGGCAUAGGGGCGAAAGACUAAUCGAACCAUCUAGUAGCUGGUUCCCUC